CGAUGUGUACAAUUGCACAUACUUAAUGUUACUUGUCGUUCGCCUGUAACUGGAUAGUAUGAUUUAAGUGAUAAACACAAUAGAAUAAAAAAAAACAUUUACUAACCUAAAAAUAUAAAUUUUCGGAGCUGCUCUGGAGAGUAAUGAAUACAGAUGAGUCUCCAUUUAGUUGGUACGGAUUAAAUCUAAAGCCAUAAAAAUUACUGGCUUUAUGCUGCCCGGCAUUUAAAAAAUCAAAGGGUGACAGGAGCUGUAGCACUUAGCAGGGUCGACGCCAGGCAGGCAUGUGAUGUUUGACAUAGGAAAGUUCAAGGAGAACCUAGUUUAGAACGAAGAAUUCUCGCAACGUUCUCUAAUCAGUAAUUAGUAGAGACCUCUCUCUACCGAUCGUGGUAGCUACUAUUGUCGGUAGAUGGAGGUCGUAGCUCUCAGUGUAUACUUCUGCGAACAUAUGAUGUCGCAGAAAGAAAGCGCCGAACGAGAUCAGGAGCAAACCGAUUAUUCUACAGCCAAAUGAGAAACAGAAAGCGGCUGAUGAUUAACCUGCGCCUCCCGCCGUGUGGGGUGUGAAAAAUUUAAACUUCAGUUUUUUGCAUUCAAUCCAUCUCUUCUCUUGAAUGCACUCCCACUCGAUAUUAGGACGACCACGAAUCGUUUUGCAUUCACAGCAAAGGUUCGACUGCUCUUGCAUACAAAGGUUGACUGAUAGAGAAUGCCUUCGGCAUUAAGUCCGCCUUUAUACAUUUAUGUAUUAUAGAAAAUGAACAUAAAAUAAAUAAAUAAAUAAAAUUUGAUACUUGUUUUCCAAAAUUUGAUACAUCCUCGCAUUGUGUACAAGCCCUUUGUUGAUUCAUAAUGAUAAUAUAGGUGCAUGCUUAUCAUUGGUUAGCGAUAGGAAUGGAUAUAUCGACAACAAAACUCAAAUAAUAAAUCAGCUUAUACCUAGUCAUAUGUUGAUGUUGUAAUGUGCUAGCCAUAUUUUUUCCAAAAACGCUGAUAAACACAUAAUAAACGAUGGGCAUCUGCUGUUCUUGCUGCUGUGGUGAUUCGACACAACCUGUGCAAGUGGUGGAGCACGCGGAAACAAACUUCGGCCCCCCGCCUCAGCCGGUGAUGAUCGUAGAACACAGUCCUUCCAACUACGGAGAAGGUGUUGGUAGAUGAUAGUGCUUUCAUAUAUUAUACGACUUAUUUAUUGAAA
rnacentral:lncRNA from 1 species